AGGUAGAGGAGGGCUUGCAGGC
rnacentral:miRNA from 1 species